rnacentral:rRNA from 1 species
AUUGAACGCUGGCGGCAUGCUUUACACAUGCAAGUCGAACGGUAACAGGGAGCUUGCUCCGCUGACGAGUGGCGAACGGGUGAGUAAUGCGUCGGAACGUGCCGAGUAGUGGGGGAUAACGCAUCGAAAGGUGUGCUAAUACCGCAUACGUACUGAGGUAGAAAGUGGGGGACCUUCGGGCCUCACGCCAUUCGAGCGGCCGACGUCUGAUUAGCGAGUUGGUGAGGUAAAGGCUCACCAAGGCGACGAUCAGUAGCGGGUCUGAGAGGAUGAUCCGCCACACUGGGACUGAGACACGGCCCAGACUCCUACGGGAGGCAGCAGUGGGGAAUUUUGGACAAUGGGCGCAAGCCUGAUCCAGCCAUGCCGCGUGUCUGAAGAAGGCCUUCGGGUUGUAAAGGACUUUUGUCCGGGAGCAAAUGCUGGUGGCUAACAUCCACCGGAGCUGAGAGUACCGGAAGAAUAAGCACCGGCUAACUACGUGCCAGCAGCCGCCGUAACAC